rnacentral:ncRNA from 13 species
GCGGAAGUAGUUCAGUGGUAGAACACCACCUUGCCAAGGUGGGGGUCGCGGGUUCGAAUCCCGUCUUCCGCU